CCCGGGCCGCUGAAGGAGUUUCCAAGAGAACCGGGUUUUCAUAACAGCCAAGCUGCAGCAGGGUUGAUCUAUGCUGCUGACUCUGGGGUGGAUCACUACCCCAUGGUACUGGAAAUUCCUUAUCUGCAUUUAAUUGGCUGAAUGCCUGAAGCCCCCUCCUUCCGGUGCAUCUCCAGAGUUGCUUAACCCUUUCCUCACUCUACAGGUAAGUCAGACUCUCCUUAGCAGCUCCUAUUCACGGCAGACCUUAAAUACCUUGCUUCUAUAGGCUUCAGCUUAAAACUCCCCAAGGUCACCACCAAGUGAAAACCUCCUUCUUCGUUGACCCAGGAAGAAACACUUGAACUUCUUCCAGAGGGGUACCCCCAACUCUUUUACCACAAGAGAGCUCGAAGGGAAAAAAAAGAAAACAAACUGUGUCUCUGAUAGCUGACUUCUCAGGCUAGGCAGGCACACGCAGACCUGUUUCCUUCCAGGGCACACAAAUCAAAUCACCACCUUAAAGGUGAUUUUUAUUAACA